rnacentral:rRNA from 1 species
UACGUAGGUGGCAAGCGUUGUCCGGAAUUAUUGGGCGUAAAGCGCGCGCAGGCGGCCUUUUAAGUCUGAUGUGAAAGCCCCCGGCUCAACCGGGGAGGGUCAUUGGAAACUGGAAGGCUUGAGUGCAGAAGAGAAGAGCGGAAUUCCACGUGUAGCGGUGAAAUGCGUAGAGAUGUGGAGGAACACCAGUGGCGAAGGCAGCACUCUGGGACGUGACUGACGCUGAGACGCGAAAGCGUGGGGAGCAAACAGG